CAUCCUACCAGUGACCGGACGAGGAAGACGGCAGGAGAACUGCAUCAGAGAGACCAACUGGCGGCUUCAGCAGUGGUGUCUCGAGGCAGGCUUCGGCUUCCUGGACAAUGACCCGCACAUCACGACGAGGGACAUGCUCAGCUGGGAUGGGCUUCACCUGUCCCCCAAAGGGGGUUUGCAAAUUUGUCAUGCAACUACUUUCAAAGCUCAUAUCAUGGUGAAUUCUUCAGGACAUGGAAUGCCUAUAUUGGGGUUUUGAAGUUGACUGAGUGCUGAACUACAAAUAAAUACAUUAAUAAAAAUAAUGUGACAAUUGCAAACAUAUCAUUACAUCUAGAACUGAGAGUAAGGAGAGAUGGACUUGUGAUUAGACUUAGCCCUCGGACUCCUGAAGGAAAAAGAAGCAAUUUAUGAUUCUUUUGGUGAAGUAUGCUGCAGAUUUAACCAUUUUAAUAAAAUUCAAACCUAUUAAA